UCUUUUGAAUUUAGAAAUAGAAGUUAUUAAAUGUUGGUGGCUCAUCAUGCAGUGCAUAUGAGAAUGGCAUGCUUUCAAAGGUUAAGACUGCUCCCCUGAUUCCUACAGC
rnacentral:lncRNA from 1 species